CAAGCACUCUAGCAACUAAGCUAUAUCCUCAGCCCACUACAAUACCAUUUUUAAUGACACCAUCUAAGAAUUAAUUGAUCUUGUGCCCUGUAUCGGCAUUUCUUGGCUGACUUCCUAAACACCAGUGCUAAAAUUUGGAAUCCCUAGCAAAUGUUUCAGUCUGCUCUUGUUGAAAUAGAUUUUUAAAAUGAUUGUUAACUUUAUUAGUAGUGAUAAUGGCAUUAUGGUGCAUUUAAAAGGAAGAAAAAUUCCUUAUUAAGACAUACAUACUAACAAGUCUAAUAAUGUAUGGAACUUUAAAAUACUUUAGGUAGACCAGUGAAACUCCACAUCAUGUACAACCACAAGAAUGGGAUCCUAAUUAGAAUAAGUUAUAUUCCAUUUUUGUAUAAUAUGUCAAAACACACUUUACUGUCAUAUAUAUCUAAAAAGAACAAAUAAAGAUAAAAAAUUUUUUAAAUACUCCAGAUAGAAAUUAAAGUGGGGAGUUGGGGUAGAGUUGCCAAACAAGUUGAUCAUUGUUGAAGCUGGAUGGAAGAUAGAUAGGAAUUUGCUAUACUUUUGUAAUUUGUGUCUUAAAUUUUCUGUAGUAAAUUAAAAAAUGUUUACCAGCAUUCUUCUUGGAAUAGAGGCCAAGUAAUCCCUCCCCACUUCUGUUCAAGUCACCCUUGGGCACUGCUGAAGUGAAUGUGCACUCCCACUGUCAUCUCCCUCAUGUCCAGUGAUUCUGCUUCUGCAUCCAGCCUCUCACUAUUUCUCUGACAGUACCUCUGAACCUGAAUAAUCUCACUCUUCUAGAACACCCUGUCUGCCUCAUGCUGAAUCCCUGGGUUCUUUCCACGCUCAAUCCUGAGUUUCCUUUUCUUCAGAUACUGCUUCCUUAUCAAAGUCAGGUUUCUUAUUUUCCAUGUCCAAAGACCCUGUGAUGGUAUCACUUUCAAGCACACUAAGGAGAAGGUGCAGUAAGGACCAAAUCAUCUGGCAGUUAUACCCCCAUAACCCCUCUACCUAUUCAUCUUGUAGUCUCUCCUAUGCACAUGAUUGUGGAAUCUGGCUCUAUGUGCUGACAGAGUAGCUGCUUAGUAAAUGUUUGUAGAAUCAGUAUCCACGUAGAUGAGUCAUCCAGCAAACAGUCUCCCCUUUAUCUCGAAUCCUGGGUCUGGUGGCAGGAACAGCAUGCCUGUGUGUAAUGCAGCAUCUGCUGCCUGUGCUUUCCAUCCUCCCACUAGAGAAUCUAAUUCUCCCUGUUUUAAUUCUUAUUCCAAAAGUUCCUCUCCUCCUCUGCCUUGAAAAGGUGCCUGCCAUCUGCUGUCCACCCACAAACUUCUGUCCUUCACACUUUUCACACCCACUGUUGUCUCCUAACCAACCCAGCUUUGCCAGAGGUAACCAUUUCUUUCUGUCUCCUGUAUCUCACGCUCUUCAGUUCUCAUUCCCUCCUUUUCCAGUGACUCAUUUCAUUAUCACUUUAAACAGGUCUGGGUCAGUGGGUCUCUACUAUUUACAUCUUUCUAAAAUCUGUGUGCUCCCUUAGGCACCAUGCUAAGGCUCUUACAUGGCCAGAUUCCAUUCCUUCCAGACCACUACUCAUUUCCUCUAUUUGCCUUACCGUCCACAUAGUCCAGAGUCCCUAAAAUUUGACCUGUCUACCUAAAGUCUCAACUACACCUAUUCUUAGGUAAAAGAAAACAAAAAGUACAUAGGUAUCAUCUUUACCAAUGAGGCAGAAGUUCCUAAAUAUGUCAGUCUUGGUCAAGGUGUGGGAAAUCAGCCUCACAUGAUGCUGGGCGCGGAGAAAUGCUGUAAAGGCAGUAUUUGAUACAGUUGCAAAUUCAUAUGCCCCUGGACCUAGCAACUAGACUGCUUCCGAUUUACUCAUCUGCCUGCAUAUAUUAAAUGACUAGAUAAAGGUUGUUAUACAUUGAGUAAUUAAUUUGUAAUUUGCUAAUAACCUAAAUGUUCC
rnacentral:lncRNA from 1 species